AGGUCGGAGAGCCCAACAGAAUCUCACACAUAUGGUAGCACUUUUACUACCUUGCCCCUGUUUGUUUUGUUUUGUUUUAAUACAUUUUGCAUUUUACAGGUUUUAGAUUUACAGGACAAUUGCAAAGAUAAGACAGAGAGUUCCUAAGUACUCAGCACCAGUUUCCCCUAUUAUUCACAUCUUAUAUUCGUCUGAUACAUUUGCUACAGCUAACUAAUAUCAAUGCAUUAUUAACUAUAUGCAGGUUUCCUUAGGUUUUACGUGCUGUCCUUUUCGGUCCCAGGAUCCCAUUCGGAACGCCACAUUAUAUUCAGUCAUCAUGUCUCCCGGCUGUGACAGCUUCUUGACUCCCCUUGUUGACGACUCUAACAGCCUUGAGGAGGACUGGCCAGAAAUGUGUUAGGAAGAAAAUCAUUGUAGAUGAAUCUUCUACAGUGGAAAAUGUUAUAAUAACGUUUCCCCUGGUAGAAUUCAAAAUUGUGCAUGUCACAGUAAACAAAGAGAUGUGAGUUCUGCAUCAGAGCCUGAGGCUAUGAGGGGUGUCCCGGUUUAUUUUCAGCUUGUUGUUAGUCUUGAUUGCCUUCUGACACUAGAUAAGCCAUUCAAGCUAUUGAAUUCUUCACCUUUUGUUUGUCAGAGUACACAGCCAACAAUGGCUUCAGGAGGAACCUUAGAGCACCUAGAAGCUUUGGUGUGCAGGUUGGAGACCUGUCUAAAUGUGUGGCUAUGGGCAGAAAAGGGCCAUAAAAAUCGCUUGAGUGCUUAAAAUAAAACGUAUUCACUUCAAAUUCCAAAAGACAGAGAACCCUCCAUUUUAGUUACGGAUUCACAUAGAUGCA